GGUGCAUGUAAGUAUAUGUAUUCGUAUUCUUCUAGGGAAAAGUAUAUGUAAAAAGUCUUUGACAUUAAUUUUUAGUAUGCGUUAGUUUGUUUUUAGUUGGGUAGAUGUAGACGUGUUCAAUUUUUCUUAUUUUGCUGGAGAUCGUCUCAGAAUUAAUUACACGAUGUUUGUCAAAUCUUCGGUUGAAUAGUGUUCUAUCAAUUUAUAGUUAUUAAGAGAUACCUAAUAUGUGUGUGUUUCGAGAUUGAAUUACAAUUUGAAAUGAAGUUACUGGUAUGGUGAGAAUUUUUUUAGUGGGUUUCUAGUUCAGUAGUUAUCACUGAUAUAAGUAUUAUGAUGGUGGACAAUUCAUGUACAACAUUGAAUGUUGUGGAAGUUAUCAAAUUAUAUUUUUCUAGCAGAAUCUGAUGUAUAUGCUAUGGAUUCUGUGAUUGUUAGUUUUGUCUCUAAUCUCUAAACAUGAAUUAGUUAAAAGUAUGUCAUAUAGAUACAUUGUGGUGUAGCAGCUUGGUGGCAUGUUGGAAGGAUAUUCAAUGUAAAGUUAAACUGUUAAACCAAGUGGUAAACUUCUUCAGGUAUGAUUGUGAUGCAGUGGUAUGUGAUAUGGAACCUGUAAUCCUUAAUUUGGUCCUGAUAUCCAAAGAUGAAUUAUUUCAAAAGCAUUGGACUGAUGCCAUGAUAAGAUGUUAAAUUUUAUUUCACUCUGGUAAACUUCUGUAGGUGUGAUUGCCUAGAAGAAUGUUUUCUGUAGUGCUAUGGUUUGCAAAUAUAUGUUAACUCCUGUUUUCUUUUUAGGUUUUGGUUGCAAUGUUCAAAGGACAUUAUUUUGUUGAUUCUAUUGGAGUUGGUUACUGUGGAUCGAUUCAUUUCAGGUACACUGUUUUUGAAUCUUGUGUUUCAUUCAAAUACUGAAAGUGCAACUGGUGUAUAGGCAAGCUGGUGUCUGCAAAUUUUCCCAUUGUGAGGAUCCUGGUGCAGUGUAUUUGCUGAAUUUAUUUUUUGUGGGGUUAUGAAUGUCCAAGCUAGUUGAAUUGCCUUCAGUGUCGACAUCAACGAUGGGGAAAUAGCUAUUCGUGGAACUAGAAUGUUGAAUGAGUGAAAUUUUGUUUAAGCUCUUGCACAGUCCAUAUCUGAGUCUGUGCAUCAAGCCGGCUGUUGUCUCCGUGUGACAGCUUAGGUUUUUGGUAUGGCCAGCUAGUUAGCUAGGAGUUUCAAUGGAAGUUCGUGAAACGUUUCUGAAAUUCACCUUUGUAUACUAUCCUUUUUGGUCGUUGGUGUAUUAUAAUGACUUGUUCAAUAUCUCCGAAUGUGUUUGAAUUCCUCUUGUUUCAUGCAGGUGACGGCUGUGAUGCAUCUGAACCUGGGUUUAAUUGAUUUUGGAGUUUGCUUCUAUGGGUAAACCAAUUCAUAAUAGGUUAAUGGGCAAAUUGUAAAUCUGUUGAAGGUAACAUUUCUCGGAUUGGGGUGCCAGACGUCCGAACGGUGGAAUUGGUGGUUACUCGAGUUCUUAAAUAAUUUCAUUGUUGAAUACAUCUUAUAUUUUUGUUCAAGAAAACCACCAAUGAUGGCGAAAAUAUGAGCUUCAGUUUCUUAGCAACCUAUCAUUUACCUGUUUUCGCUCUUGUGUUCAUUUGUAAGCUUUGUACAAAUCUUACAGGAUUGGAAUUUCUUCUGGCGAAUAUCACAAUUGACAAGGACGAAUGAGAGCGCAUUUUUCUGGUACUUUCGUUAUGUGAUGACGCUGUUGGAAGAGUUUUGGAAAUUACCCUUCAACUAAAUUUUUGUCACGUGUUUUUAUUAAGUAAUUUAUAUCCUGUUUCUUUGUUUCCCCUUGACUUGUGAUAAA